rnacentral:rRNA from 1 species
UACGUAGGGGGGCAAGCGUUGUCCGGAUUUAUUGGGCGUAAAGAGCGUGUAGGCGGCCAAGCAGGUCAGCUGUGAAAACUCGAGGCUCAACCUCGAGACGUCGGUUGAAACCGCUUGGCUAGAGUCCGGAAGAGGAGAGUGGAAUUCCCGGUGAUAGCGGUGAAAUGCGUAGAGAUGUGGAAGAACACCGAUGGCGCAAGGCAGCCCCCUGGGAAUGGCUGACGCUCAUGUAACGAAAGGCGUGGGGAGC